rnacentral:lncRNA from 1 species
GUCCCAGGUGUGCCCAGGUGUGUCCCAGCUGUGUCUCACCUGUCCCAGGUGUGCCCAGGUGUGUCCCAGCUGUGUCUCACCUGUCUCAGGUGUGUCUCACCUGUCCCAGCUGUGCCCAGGUGUGUCCCAGCUGUGUCUCACCUGUCCCAGCUGUGUCUCACCUGUCCCAGGUGUGUCUCACCUAUCUCAGGUGUGUCUCACCUGUCCCAGGUGUGUCUCCAGGUGUGUCUCACCUGUCCCAGCUGUGUCUCACCUGUCUCAGGUGUGUCCCAGGUGUGUCUCACCUGUCCAGGUGUGUCUCACCUUGAUGAAGGCGUAGCCAGCGCUGUUGUCGGUGAUGGUCAGCCCCAGCUGUGCCCAGGUGUGUCUCACCUGUCCCAGGUGUGUCUCCAGGUGUGUCUCACCUGUCUCAGGUGUGUCUCACCUUGAUGAAGGCGUAGUCGGCGCCGUUGUCGGUGAUGGUCAGCCCCAGCUGUGCCCAGGUGUGUCUCACCUGUCCCAGGUGUGUCUCCAGGUGUGUCUCACCUGUCCCAGCUGUGUCUCACCUAUCUCAGGUGUGUCUCACCUAUCUCAGGUGUGUCUCCAGGUGUGUCUCACCUGUCCCAGCUGUGUCUCACCUAUCUCAGGUGUGUCUCCAGGUGUGUCUCACCUGUCCCAGCUGUGUCCCAGGUGUGUCUCACCUAUCUCAGGUGUGUCUCACCUGUCUCAGCUGUGUCCCAGGUGUGUCUCACCUAUCUCAGGUGUGUCUCACCUGUCCCAGGUGUGUCUCCAGGUGUGUCUCACCUGUCCCAGGUGUGUCUCACCUGUCUCAGGUGUGUCUCCAGGUGUGUCUCACCUGUCCCAGCUGUGUCUCACCUAUCUCAGGUGU